ensembl:lncRNA
GUGAAGGAACACACUAAGGUGUUUAUUCUACUAAACAAGCAGCUGAACGCAGCGCGUGAACGGUGUUUACUGUGGUGCGUCACCCUCCCCCGCGACCCCGCCGAGAACCCCCGCGAGCGUUCACUCACCCUCUCAGAAGAGCCGCAGCCAGCUCUGGAGCGGGUCAGAACCGGACCGCUGUCUCUGGGAUCUGGAGGACGCUGUAUUCGUCUGGUUUUCCGCCUGAAGACACGAACCCUGCGCUCGCUCACUCUGGCUGAACCUGUGGCAGAGAAAGUGUUGCACAGAAGCUGAGUUCCUGUAGUUCCAGGAAUUGUCCACAUGGUGGCGUUACAGCUCCAGAAACCAUUCAUGUCAACAAAACGCUUAAAACACUUUUUUUUUUUUUUUGUCUGUUAGAUUAGCCUACUACAGACUGAAUUCUGUAUUUAUUGUAAUCUGAGCAGUAAACAGUGCUGAUGGCAGCUCACUGUGAUCCACACAUUCAGCUUAACUGUGAUUUCUAUGGUGCCUUGUUGUCAAAAUAAUAAGAUUACCAACAAUAACAAUGAAUGAUGAAUAGAACAAAAGAAUAGACAAUAGAAGGAAUGAUAGAUAGAAAGAGCAAAAGAGUUGAGUCCAUCUUCAAGAAUCGGCUGAAAACACAUCUCUUCCAUCUUUAUUUGACCCUCUAACUCUAGCACUCUCUAUUCUAUUUUAAAAACUUGCCCCUUUAAGAUUUGCACUCUAUUCAUUUACUAACUGCUUGUUUUCAAAAAAAUAAAAUAAGCUGAAACUAGCUUCUCUAUUCUUUU